GUCUUCACCUUGGCCUAAUUUUGAUUGAUAAUAAAAGUUUGCUUCGUCCUCUCCACAAAAUCACAUAUGGGCAAGAUCGUUCUUUAUAAAUGGCGAUCACAUCCAAGUAGAGCUUGAACCCGCCACUAGAAGAGGCUCUAUGAACAUGUCAGCAGGAUUGUCUCCAGUGUUAAUCUUUUGAACAGAGAUUUUUUCAUCAAAAAUAAUUUUUCAAAUAAAAUGAUAGCUGAUACCAAUAGAUU
rnacentral:lncRNA from 1 species